rnacentral:rRNA from 1 species
AUACGUAGGGGGCAAGCGUUAUCCGGAUUUACUGGGUGUAAAGGGAGCGCAGACGGUCAUACAAGUCUGAAGUGAAACCCCACGGCUCAACUGUGGGCUUGCUUUGGAAACUGCGUGACUUGAGUGUCGGAGGGGUAAGCGGAAUUCCCGGUGUAGCGGUGAAAUGCGUAGAUAUCGGGAAGAACACCGGUGGCGAAGGCGGCUUACUGGACGACAACUGACGUUGAGGCUCGAAGGUGUGGGGAGCAAACAGGAUUAGAUACCCUGGUAGUCCACGCGGUAAACGAUGAAUACUAGGUGUUGGGAAGCAAAGCUUUUCAGUGCCGGAGCUAACGUGAUAAGUAUUCCACCUGGGGAGUACGUCCGCAAGGAUGAAACUCAAAUGAAUUGGCGGGG